UACGUAGGGGGCAAGCGUUGUCCGGAUUUAUUGGGCGUAAAGAGCGUGUAGGCGGCCAGGUAGGUCUGCUGUGAAAACUCGAGGCUCAACCUCGAGACGUCGGCGGAAACCAUCUGGCUAGAGUCCGGAAGAGGAGAGUGGGAUUCCUGGUGUAGCGGUGAAAUGCGCAGAUAUCAGGAAGAACACCCGUGGCGAAGGCGGCCUCUCUGGGACGGUACUGACGCUGAGACGCGAAAGCGUGGGGAGCGAACAGG
rnacentral:rRNA from 1 species